rnacentral:rRNA from 1 species
CCUACGGGUGGCAGCAGUGGGGAAUAUUGCACAAUGGGGGAAACCCUGAUGCAGCGACGCCGCGUGAGUGAAGAAGUAUUUCGGUAUGUAAAGCUCUAUCAGCAGGGAAGAAAUAAAGUCCUUCGGACUUUGGACGGUACCUGACUAAGAAGCCCCGGCUAACUACGUGCCAGCAGCCGCGGUAAUACGUAGGGGGCAAGCGUUAUCCGGAUUUACUGGGUUGAAAGGGAGCGUGGACGGCAGCGCAAGUCUGGAGUGAAAUCCCAUGGCUUAACCAUGGAACGGCUUGGGAAACUGUGCAGCUGGAGUGCAGGAGAGGUAAGCGGAAUUCCUAGUGUAGCGGUGAAAUGCGUAGAUAUUAGGAGGAACACCAGUGGCGAAGGCGGCUUACUGGACUGUAACUGACGUUGAGGCUCGAAAGCGUGGGGAGCAAACAGGAUUAGAUACCCUGGUAGUC